rnacentral:rRNA from 1 species
GACGAACGCUGGCGGCGUGCUUAACACAUGCAAGUCGAACGGAAAGGCCUGCUUUCCCUUGUGGAUUGCGGGUACUCGAGUGACGAACGGGUGAGUAACACGUGAGUGAUCUGCCCCCAACUUGGGUAUAAGCCUGGGAAACUGGGUCUAAUUCCCGAUAGGGCUGCAGGGUGGUGCCUGUGGUGGAAAACGAUUUUCUAGUGGUUGGGGAUGAGCUCGCGGCCUAUCAGCUUGUUGGUGGGGUAAUGGCCUACCAAGGCGGCGACGGGUAGCCGGCCUGAGAGGGUGGACGGCCACAUUGGGACUGAGAUACGGCCCCGACUCCUACGGGAGGCAGCAGUGGGGAAUAUUGCACAAUGGGCGGAAGCCUGAUGCAGCGACGCCGCGUGGGGGAUGACGGCCUUCGGGUUGUAAACUCCUUUCGACCGCGAGGAAGCCACCUGGUUGGAAGGGUGGUGACGGUAGUGGUAGAAGAAGCACCGGCUAACUACGUG